UACGGGGGGAGCAAGCGUUGUUCGGAUUUACUGGGCGUAAAGGGUGCGCAGGCGGACUUGUAAGUCAGGGGUGAAAUCUCACAGCUCAACUGUGAAACUGCCUUUGAUACUGCAAGUCUUGGAUCCAGAAGAGAGUUGUGGAAUUCCGAGUGUAGCAGUGAAAUGUGUAGAUAUUCGGAAGAACACCAGUGGCGAAGGCAGCAACUUGGUCUGGUAUCGACGCUCAGGCACGAAAGCAUGGGGAUCAAACAGG
rnacentral:rRNA from 1 species